rnacentral:rRNA from 1 species
UACAGAGACUGCAAGCGUUAUUCGGAUUCACUGGGCGUAAAGGGUGCGCAGGCGGUUGGGUGUGUCAGAUGUGAAAUCCCGAGGCUUAACCUCGGAACUGCGUCUGAAACUACUCGACUAGAGUACUGGAGAGGGAAACGGAAUUCACGGUGUAGCAGUGAAAUGCGUAGAUAUCGUGAGGAACACCAGAGGCGAAGGCGGUUCUCUGGGCAUUACCUGACGCUGAGGAGCGAAAGUGUGGGGAGCGAACAGG